ensembl:snRNA Gm25268 U6 spliceosomal RNA
AUUUGCUUAGGCAGAACACAUGCUAAAAUUGGAAUGAUACAAAGAUUAGCAUGACCCUACACAAGGAUGUCACGAAAUGUAUGGAAUGCUCUGUAUUUUUUUUUUU